rnacentral:rRNA from 1 species
GUACGCGGCAUCGACUCUGUCGUUGCCAAUGCUACCAGAAAGAUGACCAAACUUGAUCAUUUAGAGGAAGUAAAGGUCGUAACAAGGUUUCCGUAGGUGAAGCUGCGGAAGGAUCAGUA